rnacentral:rRNA from 1 species
CAAGCGUUAAUCGGAAUUACUGGGCGUAAAGCGUGCGUAGGCGGUUUAUUAAGUCAGAUGUGAAAGCCCCGGGCUUAACCUGGGAACUGCAUUUGAAACUGGUCAACUAGAGUAUGGUAGAGGAAAGUGGAAUUUCUGGUGUAGCGGUGAAAUGCGUAGAUAUCAGAAGGAACAUCAAUGGCGAAGGCAGCUAUCUGGACCAAUACUGACGCUGAGGUACGAAAGCGUGGGUAGCAAACAGGAUUAGAUACCCUGGUAGUCCACGCCGUAAACGAUGAUAACUAGCCGUUGGGGGGAUUUACCCCUUAGUGGCGAAGCUAACGCGUUAAGUUAUCCGCCUGGGGAGUACGGCCGCAAGGCUAAAACUCAAAGGAAUUGACGGGGACCCGCACAAGCGGUGGAGCAUGUGGUUUAAUUCGAUGCAACGCGAAGAACCUUACCUGGUCUUGACAUCCUGCGAACUUUCUAGAAAUAGAUUGGUGCCUUCGGGAACGCAGUGACAGGUGCUGCAUGGCUGUCGUCAGCUCGUGUCGUGAGAUGUUGGGUUAAGUCCCGUAACGAGCGCAACCCCUAUCCUUAUUUGCCAGCACAUUAUGGUGGGAACUAUAAGGAGACUGCCGGUGAUAAACCGGAGGAAGGCGGGGACGACGUCAAGUCAUCAUGGCCCUUACGACCAGGGCUACACACGUGCUACAAUGGGAAGGACAAAGAGCCGCGAAGCCGCGAGGUGUAGCUAAUCUCAUAAAUCUUUUCGUAGUCCGGAUUGGAGUCUGCGACUCGACUCCAUGAAGUCGGAAUCGCUAGUAAUCGUAGAUCAGAAUGCUACGGUGAAUACGUUCCCGGGUCUUGUACACACCGCCCGUCAUACCAUGGGAGUGGGUUGCACCAGAAGUGGCUAGUCUAACU